CGCGAAGAAACUUACCUACCCUUUACAUGUUGGAAACCCGCUGAGAGGUGGGAGUGCUCGAAAGAGAACCGGCGCACAGGUGCUGCAUGGCUGUCGUCAGCUCGUGUCGUGAGAUGUUGGGUUAAGUCCCGCAACGAGCGCCACCCUUGUCCUUAGUUGCUACGCAAGAGCACUCUAAGGAGACUGCCGGUGACAAACCGGAGGAAGGUGGGGAUGACGUCAAGUCCUCAUGGCCCUUAUGGGUAGGGCUUCACACGUCAUACAAUGGUCGGAACAGAGGGUUGCCAACCCGCGAGGGGGAGCUAAUCCCAGAAAACCGAUCGUAGUCCGGAUUGCACUCUGCAACUCGAGUGCAUGAAGCUGGAAUCGCUAGUAAUCGCGGAUCAGCAUGCCGCGG
rnacentral:rRNA from 1 species